rnacentral:rRNA from 1 species
GAUGAACGCUGGCGGCGUGCCUAAUACAUGCAAGUCGAGCGAACGGACGAGGAGCUUGCUUCUCUGAUGUUAGCGGCGGACGGGCGAGUAACACGUGGAUAACCUACCUAUAAGACUGGGAUAACUUCGGGAAACCGGAGCUAAUACCGGAUAAUAUUUUGAACCGCAUGGUUCAAAAGUGAAAGACGGUCUUGCUGUCACUUAUAGAUGGAUCCGCGCCGCAUUAGCUAGUUGGUAAGGUAACGGCUUACCAAGGCAACGAUGCAUAGCCGACCUGAGAGGGUGAUCGGCCACACUGGAACUGAGACACGGUCCAGACUCCUACGGGAGGCAGCAGUAGGGAAUCUUCCGCAAUGGGCGAAAGCCUGACGGAGCAACGCCGCGUGAGUGAUGAAGGUCUUCGGAUCGUAAAACUCUGUUAUUAGGGAAGAACAUAUGUGUAAGUAACUAUGCACGUCUUGACGGUACCUAAUCAGAAAGCCACGGCUAACUACGUG